GACGAACGCUGGCGGCGUGCUUAACACAUGCAAGUCGAACGGUAAGGCCCCUAUGGGGGUACUCGAGUGGCGAACGGGUGAGUAACACGUGGGUAACCUGUCCUUGACUUGUGGAUAACUUCCGUAAACUGGGGCUAAUACCGGAUAGGAAUCCUUUCUGCAUGGUGGGGGUUGGAAAGCUUACGCGGUUUUGGAUGGAAUGGCGGCUCCUCAGCUUGUUGGUGGGGUAGUGGCUUACCAAGGCUUGGACGGGUAGCCGGCCUGAGAGGGCGACGGGCAACAGUGGGACUGAGACACGGCCCAGACUCCUACGGGAGGGAGCAGUGGGGAAGAGUGAACAAUGGGCGGAAGGCUGAUGCAGCAACGCCGCGUGCGGGAUGACGGCCAUCGGGUUGGAAACCGCAUUCAGCAGGGGCGAAGCUUGUGGUGACGGUACCUGAAGAAGAAGCACCGGCUAACUACGUG
rnacentral:rRNA from 1 species